CCUUGUCAAAAAAUCCUAUUAGAAUUUCAUAGAAUCUUGUAGGAUUCUAAAGGAUUCUUAAAAUCCUAUUGGACAUUCAGAUAUAUUUUAGUGGAUUUUAACUUUGUCUUGUAGGAUUCUAAAGGAUUCUUAAAAUCCUAUUGGACAUUCAGAUAUAUUUUAGUGGAUUUUAACUUUGUCUUGUAGGAUUCUAAAGGAUUCUUAAAAUCCUGUUGGACAUUCAGAUAUAUUUUAGUGGAUUUUAACUUUGUCUUGUAGGAUUCUAAAGGAUUCUUAAAAUCCUAUUGGACAUUCAGAUAUAUUUUAGUGGAUUUUAACUUUGUCUUGUAGGAUUCUAAAGGAUUCUUAAAAUCCUAUUGGACAUUCAGAUAUAUUUUAGUGGAUUUUAACUUUGUCUUGUAGGAUUCUAAAGGAUUCUUAAAAUCCUAUUGGACAUUCAGAUAUAUUUUAGUGGAUUUUAACUUUGUCUUGUAGGAUUCUAAAGGAUUCUUAAAAUCCUAUUGGACAUUCAGAUAUAUUUUAGUGGAUUUUAACUUUGUCUUGUAGGAUUCUAAAGGAUUCUUAAAAUCCUAUUGGACAUUCAGAUAUAUUUUAGGGGAUUUUAACUUUGUCUUGUAGGAUUCUAAAGGAUUCUUAAAAUCCUAUUGGGCAUUCAGCUUUAUUUUAAUGGAUUUUAAUUUGUCCUGUAUGAUUCUAAAGGAUUAUACAAUCCUAUUGGACAUUCAGAUUUAUUUUAGUGGAUUUUCAGUGUAUCCUUUAGGAUUGUAUUUGAUUUAACAAAUCCUGUUUGACAUUGUUAUACACCCUAUCGAAAUUUCAUUUUGACCUAUAGGAUCAUAUUUGACUUAUUAGAUUUCUAUUAUAUAAGAAAUCACACAUGUAGUUAACUGCAAAGAGCACUAGUAAAACAUAAUAAUAAUAACAACAACAACAGUAACAAUAAAUUGUGUCUUUCUCAAGUAAUCAUAAUAAAAUACAAAUAAAAUAAUUUGUAUAUUUAUACAUAAAAUGUCUACACUUCCCUAUCACACUUUGUAGUCAUUAACAUUGGGCAUAGGCAUCCUUUGUCCUGUUCAAAAACUUCAGCAGUUUGAGGGUUCUGGCUAUGAAGUACAGCUACGGCCAAAUCUCGCGAGAUGUUGGGUUUAGCUGAAAUCAGCGCUCGUUCGGCGAGAGCUCACGAGAUUUUGGACGCAGCUGUAAGCCGGCUAGUAUCCCUUCUAGCCACAACAACUCAGUUCGUCUGAAUGGAAACUCUGAGGAGCACAAACAACUGGUAAGUGGCUAGUUGUACUAUUUUUUCAAUAUUUUGCACAGUCUAGAAAUGUAAGCGUGUGUAAAAUAUAAUUUGUCAGUAUAAGCUACUGUUGUUGUUCCCGUUACCUUGCGGUCAACAACCUUAACCGUUAUGAAGCGAGCGAGAGAGUAUCCGUGCAAAAUACGCAAAUUCAGGUGAUAAAACGACAAAACUGGAUAGGCAUUAAAUGUUUGUUGUAACUAAUGAUAAGUUAUCGACCUUUUUUGUUGAUGUUAGUUCAUAACAGCUUUGCUGCACGUCAAAGAGCUUGCGUCACUUUUCUCAAACUGAACUCGCCUUUUUAACCAGAAUAGAGGUUAGAUAACUACAAACAAAGUUUUACAAUUGUUAUAUUAUUAUAAGAGAGAGCCAUGGUAAACUAUUAUGGACACCGCAGUUAUGUCUAAUGUUACUGUCUUUUCUCCGUGCAUGGGAAAGAAAAGUCAUACUUUAUGUGAACACGUGAAUGAACAAACACCAGUCAGCGCGUGGCUCAGCACGUCAGCUUGUUGUUCUCUAAUAUAAAUCUAGUGUAUAAAGUACUAAUGGUUUAAAUGUGGUAACUUUCAAGCUUCAGCUGAUAAGAAUAACAGUUAACACUUCAUUUUAACAACACUAACACUUCAUGCGAUCUGUUCACUACAUUGUAAGAGAGUUUUCUUGGUUAUUUCAUGCAAUUCAAUCAAUCAGCCAUUAAAGGUCUCAAAUUGUGUAGCAACCAACCUACUUAAAGUAUAUUACUAUGUAUGUCCACAGAUCUGUUUUUUAUAAAACUGUACAAUUCAACUUUCUCAAAUCUCUAAAGUUAGGCUAUGAACAGAAUUUACAACUAAUGACAUUAUUUAUUAAUUUUGGUUUGUUAAAAUAUGUUUUCUAUUUCUUUAUUUUAUAGGCUACCUCAAAAAUGAAUUCCAUAUGGAACUUAGUGGAAGACCAUCUCCCAGAAAUGUGCAGAUGAAUUGCGUAAACAAAUGGUCACUAAUACUCUAUUCAAAAUAGCCUUAGAGCAGCUGUUCAUGUAUAACUCCGUGGUAGAGCAUUGCGUUUGCAAUGCAAAAGGUCAUCGUGGGUUUGAACCCAGGGAACACAAAUACUGAUACAAAUAAUAAGCAGCUUGUAAUGCACUUUAAGUUGCUUUGGAUAAAAGCGUCUCCAAAUGCAUAAAUAUUAUAUAUUUACACAUGAUGUAACCCCAGGACCCAGGUUGACCACCGUGAAACAUGUAUGCAUUAGGUGGACAACUUUAUCCAAAGCAUAUACUUUUUAUUAGUAUGUGUGCUCCUUGGUUAUUUAGCUCAUAACCUCUUAUAAGCCUUGUUUGUUUUAUUUUUUAUGUAUAUACACUGUAAAACCUAACAGUGUAAGUCACUAAACGAAAUUAGUUUAUUUAACUUAUUAUUUUUUAAAGUUAAUUUCACUUAAUAAAAACUGUGAUAUGAACUCAAAAACUGCAAAUGAUUAACCAUAACUUAAACCAAAUAAGUAAGCAACAGCCAGGACACAGAUAUGAAGAGCAACAGGUAAGCACUGCAAACUCUUUCAACCUUUUGAAAGCAUCUUUAAACUUUAAAAACGUGUUUGUCGUGACUCUACAUUGUAAUACUCACCCGGUUACAGUAAUUUGUGUAAUGUUGGACAUACGAUGAAACAACGCGACAUUGCCACAGCAAUUUGACCUCAGACUCAUUUUUAUCAGCAGAUUAGUGUGCUUUGAGUACAUCACAGUUCUGUAAGUGAAAAAAUAAUUCAUAUUUAUGUGUGUUUCUUUCUCAGUAAGGACUAACUUUAACUGACUGUCUGUCUGUCUGUCUGUCUGUCUGUUCUCAACCAAACGGUCAUUCAAGACCUUUUAAAGCACAAACAUUUCCCGUGCAAGUUUGAAUCUCUCUCACUAAGGACUAAUUGACUGGCUGUCUGUUCUCGACCAAACGGUCAUUCUUACUCAUAAAAACCUUUAAAGCACAAGUGUGUCCCGCGCAAGUUUGAAUUUCUCUCAGUAAGGACUGACGGAUGGCCAUUCACUCAUAAAACCUUUUAAAGCACAAGUGUUUCCCACGCAAAUUUGAAUUUCUCUCAGUAAGGACUGACGGAUGGCCAUUCACUCAUAAAACUUUUUAAAGGUUAGCACGAAUGCAUCCAGCAUAAUUUUGGAUUUUUACCAUUGAGGAGACUGGCUGACUGUUCUCAACCAACCAUCAUUCACUAACAAAAACUUUAAAGGUAAGUAUGAACGUGUCUAGAGCAGUUUUGGAUCUUUACCAUUGAGGAGGUUGACUGACUUUCAUCUACCAACCGUCAUUAACACAACAAAAACUAAAGAAAUGUUACUACAAGUGGACCUAUUCAGUUACUCAUUAUGCUGUGAGUACACCACAAUUUUAUCAGUGAAACAAUAAUGUUUGUGUUUUCUCAAUGCUUGGCAUAGACAAAUGUGACCCUGUGUAAUUUGGAAAUUUCAUGGGAAAAGUGUACGUCUUAAAAAUGUUUAAAUGUCAUUUGAGUUAAGGAUUUAUUAAAAGUGUACAAUACACUGAGUCUAUUAAAGUCAUAAAGGAAUACUUGAUAUAUUUCAUAAGGAAUGUGUAAAUCUAAUAUUAGUUUUAAUGUGAAUUUGGACAGAAAAUCAAACCUUUGUUUUAUUUUUAAAACAAUGUUUGUAAAAUAAAUGAUUGUUUAAUAAACUGUAAUAAUUUUACCCUUUUCUGUCAUAAUUUUUUAUACUAAUGUUUGGUUUAAGGCAAUCGGUUUUCUCAAACGGUUUAAGUUGAGUUAACUUUUCGGGUUUUACAGUGUAAUAACAAUGUACAAAAUCAAAAAGAGGAAAGCAUAUUUUAAGAAACAAAAAAUUUAAUUGGAUCCCAUUAAAAUCCUCCACAAAUUAUCCUAAAGGAUAUUUUUGUUGUGUCUUAAAAUCCUUUAGAAAUAUCCUCUAAUAGAAUCCUAUAGGAUUUUUUCUAAUGGAAUCCCAUAGAUUUUUUGUAAUGGAAUCCUUUAGGAUUUUUCUAAUGAAAUCCUAUAAGAAUUUUCUAAUGGAAUCCUGUAGAAUUUUCUAAUGGAAUCAAAUAAGAUUUUUCUAAUGGAAUACUAUAAGAUUUUUCUAAUGGAAUCCUAUAAGAUUUUUCUAAUGGAAUCCUAUAAGAUUUUUCUAAUGGAAUCCUAUAAGAUUUUUCUAAUGGAAUCCUAUAAGAUUUUUCUAAUGGAAUCCUAUAGGAUUUUCUAAUGGAAUCCUAUAGGAUUUUCUAAUGGAAUCCUAUAGGAUUUUCUAAUGGAAUCCUAUAGGAUUUUCUAAUGGAAUCCUAUAGGAUUUUUCUAAUGGAACGGUUCCAAAAUAUGAUAGAAAUUCUAAUUGGAUUCCUGUACAGGAUUCUUAUUAAAAAUCCUAUAGGAUUUUUUGACAAGGGUG